AUGCAGGUUACCCGCGACAGGACGGAAAGACCCCAUGGAGCUUUACUGUAGUUUGAUAUUGAGUGUUUGUACCACAUGUACAGGAUAGGUAGGAGCCGAUGAGACCGGAACGCUAGUUUCGGAGGAGGCGCUGGUGGGAUACUACCCUUGUGUUAUGAACCCUCUAACCCGCACCACUAAUCGUGGUGGGAGACAGUGUCAGAUGGGCAGUUUGACUGGGGCGGUCGCCUCCUAAAAG
rnacentral:rRNA from 1 species